CUCCUGGGAAGCUGGAAAGAAGGUGGUUCUGCUGCUCUGUUUCUCCUGCUGGUAUUUUGCCCAGCUAGCUGUGUGCUACAAAUGAGCUGGUGCUCUCUAACAGCACUAGGAAUGGCCUUUGUUUGCCAUUAAUGUUAAAAAGAGAUCAGCUAUUUACAGACGGCUUGGUAGUUGUUCUUUCCUGAAUGCUUCCUUGUGUCUUGAGUUCAUAGUGCUGCUGGAGCACACUAGGAAGGGUGCCUUUCUGCAACAUCCAUGUGCUGCAAGUGAGGUUCAGGCAGCUCAGCCCAAACCUGGCUCACACCAUCCAGCUGCCAGCCUUGGCAUUCAGCUUGUAGAAGGCUUUGACAAGGACCUCAGCGAAUCCUGUUUGCAAAUUGCUGACCCUCUAAAUUGCCCAUACAUUGAUGAGAUAAAGAGAAGAUCCCAGUCUGGGUGGGGUGAAGGCCAAGGACAGCAUGCAGCACUAGCAGUGCUGAUUUGCUGGCACAGAAAAGUGUCUUCAGAAAGUCCAGAUCUCACAGAAAAACUUCCAGAGUGAAUUAAGCCUCAGAAUACCAAAAAGUCGCCUCAGUAAUUGCUAAGCACGCCCAGUUAUUCACACAAUGUUCGCUAGUUCCUCUAUUUAAUUGGAUUCUUGAGCAGAAUUUCAAUUGCAUCUCUUCAUUUUUCAAGCACAAAGAAAUAGUUUUAAACUCUGUAAAUAUCAGAAAGGAUUGUUAUCUUUUACACACAUCCAAGCAGACCGGUUCCUGUAUUAACACUAAAAAGAAACCAAAACCCAGACAGAGAAACGUGCUGGAAUAAUAAGAGGUAAUCUUCAGACUGUCUACUGGAUGACAAUUGAAGAGCCCAAAGCCACUUGUCACAUACAGCCAGCAUGAAGCAUACCUCAUGGAGCAGCAUUUGGAGCGUGGGCAUUGCUGAGCUCUCACCUGGGUCACUCAUUUUAAUCUUAAUGGGAAAAAAAAAACAACACUUGAUGUGCUAGAAAUCUAAUGGAGAUACUGCAGCCCAAUAGGAAGAGAACCUCCAUCUCUCAGCACCCCUCAGACUAUGAGGCACCUUGUCUGACCUGCACAUCCCUUUGGACAUGUCUGAGUCUGGUCCUGGGCAAGUCAGGCUGACCCAGCCCAAGGAACAAGGCACUGAAAUCCACAAAUCAAGCAGCAUCUAUAUAGACUUGUGCUGAUGGUGGUGUUGGUUCUGCUGGUCGCUUCUGAAACCAUUUGGAGCUUGGUCACGGAGCAUCAGCUCAAUCUCCUGUAACUGCAGGAAAAGAGCAGAAGAGGUGAA
ensembl:lncRNA